rnacentral:misc_RNA from 1 species
GUGUAUUAUUUGUGUGUGUGUGUGUUUCAGAAGCGUGUUCGGCGUGGUAUAAGAAAAAGAUGCGCGGCGGACGCGCCGAGCGGCACGUCCUACCAGCAACGAGUCCACAGAGGGGGUGUGUAAGAUUCGGAUACAAUGAUGAUCCUUCCGCAGGUUCACCUACGGAAA